UACGGGAGGAGCAGGGGGGAAUAUUGCACAAUGGGCGAAAGCCUGAUGCAGCUAUGCCGCGUGUAUGAAGAAGGCCUUAGGGUUGUAAAGUACUUUCAUCGGGGAGGAAAAAACAAAACUAAUAAUUUUAUUUCUUGACGUUACCCGAAAAAGAAGCACCGGCUAACUCCGUGCCAGCAGCCGCGGUAAUACGGAGGGUGCUAGCGUUAAUCAGAAUUACUGGGCGUAAAGAGCACGUAGGUGGUUUUUUUAAAGUCAGAUGUGAAAUCCCUGGGCUUAACCUAGGAACUGCAUUUUGAAACUGAAAUACUAGAGUAUCGUAGAGGGAGGUAGAAUUCUAGGUGUAGCGGUGAAAUGCGUAGAUAUCUGGAGGAAUACCUGUGGCGAAAGCGGCCUCCUAAACGAAUACUGACACUGAGGGUGCGAAAGCGUGGGGAGCAAACAGGGAUUAGAUACC
rnacentral:rRNA from 1 species